UGUCCAUUGCUGUGUCCAUGGAGCUGGUGUU
rnacentral:piRNA from 1 species